rnacentral:lncRNA from 1 species
GUGUCACCGGCCAGCUGCUAUGGUUGACAGUGCUGCGCUUGCAUCUCCGUGUCCCACAGCUGUCCACGGCUGGCCUGGCUUUCCCCUCUGAUCUAUCUGCUCAUAGCUCAGAGCCAGCCCGACUGAAGAACUGCCUGACCCAGCGCAGCACAGGGCGUGUGCGGUGGGACGGGAGCUCACUCCAUUACGAGCCGCGGGUGACAGAACGGAGCAGGAAUGUGAGCUGAGCGGUG